UACGUAGGGUGCAAGCGUUGUCCGGAAUUAUUGGGCGUAAAGAGCUCGUAGGCGGUCUGUCGCGUCGGCUGUGAAAUCCCGGAGCUCAACUCCGGGUCUGCAGUCGAUACGGGCAAACUGGAGUACUGCAGGGGAGACUGGAAUUCCUGGUGUAGCGGUGAAAUGCGCAGAUAUCAGGAGGAACACCGGUGGCGAAGGCGGGUCUCUGGGCAGUAACUGACGCUGAGGCGCGACAGCGUGGGGAUCAAACAGG
rnacentral:rRNA from 1 species